AUACGUAGGGGGCGAGCGUUGUCCGAAUUUACUGGGCGUAAAGCGCGUGUAGGCGGUUCUUUAAGUGAGAUGUGAAAUCCCGUGGCUCAACCACGGAACUGCAUUUCAAACUGGAGGGCUUGAGUAUGGGAGAGGAAAGUGGAAUUCCUGGUGUAGCGGUGAAAUGCGUAGAUAUCAGGAGGAACACCCGUGGCGAAGGCGGCUUUCUGGCCCAUCACUGACGCUGAGACGCGAAAGCUAGGGUAGCGAACGGGAUUAGAUACCCCGGUAGUCCUAGCCGUAAACCAUGGAUACUAGGUGUUAGUGGUAUCGACCCCACUAGUGCCGGAGCUAACGCAUUAAGUAUCCCGCCUGGGGAGUACGGCCGCAAGGUUGAA
rnacentral:rRNA from 1 species